CUAGCGUUAGCCGCUAGCAUUAGCCGCAUGCGCUAGUAUAAUGAGCUGCACGUGUUGGUAUUGUUAGCUGCUAUCGUUAACCGCAGGUGCUUGUACACUGCUAUAGUCAGUUAGUUACAGGUCCUUGUAUCAGACUUGUCUAUUGUGGCAGCUUUGUAGCUGCACUUCUGUUGUUAGCUGGGUGUUCAUAGCUGCUUGCUGUAUUUAGGACAUCAUGUUGGUCAAGGUGAGAUAUGGUGAAAGUCAGAAGUAUGUUAAAGUGGCUGAGACUGAAGAAGGCUAUGACGACUUCAAUACAUUUCUUCAGAAAGUCUUAGAAAAGUUAGGUCUACCACUACAGACUGAGCUGCACUUGACAGAUGAAUCAGGGACAGAGGUGGAUGCGGACGUGUUUGAUGAGCUUU